rnacentral:rRNA from 1 species
UACGUAGGGGGCAAGCGUUGUCCGGAAUCAUUGGGCGUAAAGCGCGUGUAGGCGGUUCGGUAAGUCUGCUGUGAAAGUCCAGGGCUCAACCCUGGGAUGCCGGUGGAUACUGUCGGGCUAGAGUGCGGAAGAGGCGAGUGGAAUUCCCGGUGUAGCGGUGAAAUGCGCAGAUAUCAGGAAGAACACCCGUGGCUAAGGCGGCUCUCUAGUACGGUACUGACGCUGAGACGCGAAAGCGUGGGGAGCGAACAGG